rnacentral:misc_RNA from 1 species
UCCGUCUUGACGACGGCAGUCUCUCUGGAGUGCCCAACUUAAUGAUGGCAACCAAAGACAAGGGUUGCGCUCGUUGCGGGACUUAACCCAACAUUUCACAACACGAGCUGACGACAGCCAUGCAGCACCUGUCUCUUUGUCUCUUGCGAGCCAUUAAUAUCUCUACUAAUUUCAAAGGAUGUCAAACCCAGGUAAGGUUCUUCGCGUUGCUUCGAAUUAAACCACAUGAUCCACCGCUUGUGCGGGCCCCCGUCAAUUCCUUUGAGUUUUAGUCUUGCGACCGUACUCCCCAGGCGGGAUACUUAUUGUGUUAACGUCGACACGGCGGGGGUCAAGACCCACCACGUCUAGUAUCCAUCGUUUACAGCGUGGACUAC